UAGUCUUGUCGAGAUAGCCAUGCAUGCUCUGAUAAUUGCGACUCUCGUAAAAUCUGCGAACGGCUCCGUAUAUCUGUUGUCACCAAUAGCCCAUUACUACCCUUAGAUGUAAAUGCCUUGUGCCUAGCGGAUAUGGUUCGGUAAUUCUGUCAGUAAUACGUAAACCGACCAGUAUUCGGUGCCCCCCUCAGCAAGACCCGUCCCUAGGGACGGUCAAGACCAUUCGGUCGUCUCUGAGGUUUAGGGCCGGACUCGUAACAGGACAACGCGACACGACCUUGGUCGUGGUGCGUGAGCGCCUACGAGAGAACCUGACCACGCAAGUGGCAGAGGCUUUGGGCUUCAGACCUAUCAACUUGAAGGCUGGGGGAAGACCAGUCUUGGUGAUAACGGGUACAGAGGAUCAGGGUUCGGUCCUGGAGAGGUAGCCUGAGAGAUCGCUACUACUUCUAAGGAAGGCAGCAGGCGCGCAACGUUCCCAAUGGGGGAUACCAUCCCUGAGGACGUAAAGGGACAUAACAAUGCCCGGCCGUUAAAGGCGGGGUAAUUGUAAUGGGGAAAUUUUAAACCCCCCACCGAGUAGCAAUUGGAGGACAAGUCUGAGC
rnacentral:rRNA from 1 species